rnacentral:rRNA from 1 species
GACGGAAGGUGCAAGCGUUGCUCGGAAUCAGCUGGGCGUAAAGGGUGCGUAGGCGGCCGUGCAAGUCUGGCGUGAAAGCCCCGGGCUCAGCCCGGGAAGUGCGCUCGAAACUGCGCGGCUCGAGUGCCGGAGGGGAGAGUGGAAUUCUGGUGUAGCGGUGAAAUGCGUAGAUAUCAGGAGGAAUACCGGUGCGAAAGCGACUC